rnacentral:tRNA from 1 species
GCCCGGUUAGCUCAGUUGGUAGAGCAGCAGACUUUUAAUCCGAGGGCCAUGGGUUCGAGUCCCAUAUCGGGCU